rnacentral:rRNA from 1 species
UACGUAGGGUGCGAGCGUUAAUCGGAAUUACUGGGCGUAAAGCGUGCGCAGGCGGUUGUGCAAGACAGAUGUGAAAUCCCCGGGCUUAACCUGGGAACUGCAUUUGUGACCGCACGGCUAGAGUGUGUCAGAGGAGGGUAGAAUUCCACGUGUAGCAGUGAAAUGCGUAGAUAUGUGGAGGAAUACCGAUGGCGAAGGCAGCCCCCUGGGAUAACACUGACGCUCAUGCACGAAAGCGUGGGGAGCAAACAGG